GAACUCUCUGGGAUCCUUUCUUGAGGUAGGCCGAUUUACUUUUUCCUUCCUUUCGCUUCUUUACUUAGCUUAUCCCUUAGCUUUCAUAUUGACUUCUUGACUGUUCUUGUAGAUUGGACACCAGCUCAUCACCAACAUCGAGGCGAUGAACAAUGCAAAAAGGGUAGCAGCCCAGGCGGAGGAAGGCCAUCAAGCUGAGGCCGCCCGCCUUAAGGAGAAGGUCACCG
rnacentral:lncRNA from 1 species